GAGCGGCAGCGACUUAACUGAACCUUCGGGGAACGUUAAGGGCGGCGAGCGGCGGACGGGUGAGUAAUGCCUGGGAAAUUGCCCUGAUGUGGGGGAUAACCAUUGGAAACGAUGGCUAAUACCGCAUGAUGCCUUCGGGCCAAAGAGGGGGACCUUCGGGCCUCUCGCGUCAGGAUAUGCCCAGGUGGGAUUAGCUAGUUGGUGAGGUAAGGGCUCACCAAGGCGACGAUCCCUAGCUGGUCUGAGAGGAUGAUCAGCCACACUGGAACUGAGACACGGUCCAGACUCCUACGGGAGGCAGCAGUGGGGAAUAUUGCACAAUGGGCGCAAGCCUGAUGCAGCCAUGCCGCGUGUAUGAAGAAGGCCUUCGGGUUGUAAAGUACUUUCAGCAGUGAGGAAGGCGGGUGCGUUAAUAGCGCAUUCGUUUGACGUUAGCUGCAGAAGAAGCACCGGCUAACUCCGUGCCAGCAGCCGCGGUAAUACGGAGGGUGCGAGCGUUAAUCGGAAUUACUGGGCGUAAAGCGCAUGCAGGUGGUUUGUUAAGUCAGAUGUGAAAGCCCGGGGCUCAACCUCGGAAUUGCAUUUGAAACUGGCAGGCUAGAGUACUGUA
rnacentral:rRNA from 1 species